rnacentral:rRNA from 1 species
CCAAUAGCGUAUAUUAAAGUUGUUGCAGUUAAAAAGCUCGUAGUUGAAUUUCGGGAUCAAUAUGUCGGUCGUGCCUUCGGUACGUACUGGCAUCAUUGGUUUCUCCCUUCUGACAAACCAUGAUGUCAUUACUUUGGUGUUAUGGGGAGUUAGGACUGUUACUUUGAAAAAAUUAGAGUGUUUAAAGCAGGCAUUAGCUUGAAUACAUUAGCAUGGGAUAAGGAAAUAGGACGUUUGACCCUAUUUUGUUGGUUUCUAGGAUCGACGUAAUGAUUAAUAGGGAUAGUUGGGGGCAUUAGUAUUCAAUUGUCAGAGGUGAAAUUCUUGGAUUUAUUGAAGACUAACUACUGCGAAAGCAUUUGCCAAGGAUGUUUUCAUUAAUCAAGAACGAAAGUUAGGGGAUCGAAGACGAUCAGAUACCGUCGUAGUCUUAACCAUAAACUAUGCCGACUAGGGAUCGGAUGAUGUUAAUUUUUUAAUGACUCAUUCGGCGCCUUACG